ensembl:lncRNA
GCAUUAUCUUUAUUGAAAUUAUCCUGCAAUCUAGAAAUUAGACGUGGAAUAACCCAUGAUGAAGUCAUCCUGACCCAGCUAUUCUGAGCCAAGGAUCUGUUUCUGGAAACUCAAGCCAAGACAGUGGGAUGAACUGGAAGUGGUCCUAGAAAACAGACUCAUAAAUGGGAUUUUUUGAGUCUGGCCAGAAGGUAACAAGGAUCCUUUGUUGGUGCAUUCGCUCUGAAAAAAGAAGUUAAAAGUUUCACGUCCGUGAAGAAGGAGAAGGUGAGGAGUCCGUUCUGCUGCCGUAUAAAGAGACUCAUAUCUUCUGCAGCCAGAGGGCAGACUGCUGAAAGCCAGGCCUAUCAUUCGAUUAUAAGAUGACAAGGAUGGAGGCGCCAGCAUGGAAUCCCCUUAUCAAGGUUGCCACAGGAUUGAUUGAGCUAUUCCUUAUGCAUCUAGCGCCAGCCUGCUGCCUGGAGAAUCUCUCUGCCAAGGCCAAGUGUCUGCUUCUUGUCUCUGGGGCAUUGCUCUUGGAUGACAAUGUUGACCUCUACCACCG